rnacentral:tRNA from 1 species
UCGGUGUGGCCGGCACGGCGGGCAAGACCGCUGCUGCCGGUCUGCUGGCGGCUAUCCUGCGGGAGGCGGCGUUCCACGUCGGCUUCUACC